rnacentral:rRNA from 13 species
UUUACUUUGAAAAAAUUAGAGUGUUCAAAGCAGGCCUUUGCUCGAAUACAUUAGCAUGGAAUAAUAGAAUAGGACGUGCGGUCCUAUUUUGUUGGUUUCUAGGACCGCCGUAAUGAUUAAUAGGGAUAGUCGGGGGCAUCAGUAUUCAAUCGUCAGAGGUGAAAUUCUUGGAUUGAUUGAAGACUAACUACUGCGAAAGCAUUUGCCAAGGACGUUUUCAUUAAUCAAGAACGAAGGUUAGGGGAUCAAAAAUGAUUAGAUACCGUUGUAGUCCUAACAGUAAACUAUGCCGACUAGGGAUCGGGC